UUACUUUAUAAUGAUUAAAAUCGAGUCACACUCAUUUGAUAAUUGAUAAAUGGUAAGUCGUUUUUGCCGUCAUAAGACACUGAAUUAUGGUACGUUCCAGGUCAUGGUUCAGACGGGUCAGACAGAGCAGGGGCAAACGCAGGUCGGACUCCAGCUAGCUAGCUAACUGCUAGCUAACUGCUAGCUAACUGCUAGCUAACUGCUAGCUAACUGCUAGCUAACUGCUAGCUAACUGCUAGCUAACUGCUAGCUAACUGCUAGCUAACUGCUAGCUAACUGCUAGCUAACUGCUAGCUAACUGCUAGCUAACUGCUAGCUAAAAACGGGGGAAAUGAUUUGGCGCUGUGUUAUUUGCUUUGUGUUCGUGGCUCUCACUCUCAAAUCUUUAUUGAGUCAUAUUAAUACUGCUCAUAGUCGCAGUCCAGAUUUUCGCGUUGUUUGUGGAAUUGAUGGAUGCACCAAAGAGUAUCGAGUCUACAACUCGCUAUGGUAUCACAUUAGAAGAAACCACCACGAACACCUGGAAAGUGGCAGCAGCAACUCACGGAGAGAGAGGUCAACAGCAGGCCCGGAAGCCUCUUCAGCGGUGAAUGCGUGGGCAUACAGGCCAGCUGAGAGAGCAUCAAACGGAUGAAGCAGUGGUGGACAACAGGGUGCAAGAUGUAAUGACUGUUGGGUCAUGUCCUGCUGUAGACUCUUCUGCAUCAUGUCAGUCAGAGGAUGACAUCAGGCGUAACACUCUGACCAGACAAGCUACUGCUAUUAUGUUGACUGCAAGAGAAAAACACCAUCUUUCACAGAGAGGUGUGAAUGAUGUUGUGGCAGCAAUGCAGCAAUAUCAAGCCCUGUUGGUGACUAAUCUGAGGAGUCAGCUACAAACUGUAUUCCAGCAACAUCAAGGAAGUGAACUUGAAAAGGAAGCAAUGGCAGUAUUCGACCGGAUUGAGGAUCCAUUUUCCUCUCUUGCAACAACAUACAGGCAGGACAACGUGAUUAAGGAACAUUUCAAUUUUGUGGAGUCAGAGGAGGUUUCUGUUGGGUAUACUGCCU